rnacentral:rRNA from 1 species
GAUGAACGCUGGCGGCGUGCCUAACACUUGCAAGUCGAACGGCAAGACAAUAAGCUUGCUCUUCUAACGUUGGCGGCGGGCGGGUGAGUAACACGUGGAUCACCUUCCUCUUUGUCUGGGGUAACAUCGUAGGAAAAGAUCUACUAAUAGCUAAUACAAUGAACGGGUUGAAGCAAGAGAGCUUGGGGGUUUUGGCGUAUCUUCGAGCUGGAUCCGCGCCGCAUUAGCUAGUUGGUAAGGUAACGGCUUACCAAGGCAACGAUGCGUAGCUGACCUGAGAGGGUGAUCAGCCACACUGGAACUGAGACACGGUCCAGACUCCUACGGGAGGCAGCAGUGGGGAAUCUUGGGCAAUGGGCGAAAGCCUGACGCAGCAAUGCCGCGUGGGUGAAGAAGGUCUUCGGGUCGUAAAACUCUUUUAUUGGGGAAGAACAAAUGCGGAAGUAACUAUGGAUGUUUUGACGGUACCGAAUGAAUAAGCCCCGGCUAACUACGUG